AAGCGGUGAGCAUGUGGUUAAUUCGAAGCAACGCGAAGAACCUUACCAGGUCUUGACAUCCCUGACAACCCGAGAGAUCCGGGCGUUCCCCCUUCGGGGGGACAGGGUGACAGGUUGGUGCAUGGUUGUCGUCAGCUCGUGUCGUGAGAUGUUGGGUUAAGUCCCGCAACGAGCGCAACCCUCGACCUUAGUUGCCAGCAUUCAGUUGGGCACUCUAAGGUGACUGCCGGCUAAAAGUCGGAGGAAGGUGGGGAUGACGUCAAAUCAUCAUGCCCCUUAUGACCUGGGCUACACACGUGCUACAAUGGGAAGGGACAAUAGGUUGCGAAGCCGCGAGGUGGAGCCAAUCCAGCAAAACUUCCCUCAGUUCAGAUUGCAGGCUGCAACUCGCCUGCAUGAAGUUGGAGUUGCUAGUAAACGCAGGUCAGCCAUACUGCGUUGAAUACGUUCCCGGGGCUU
rnacentral:rRNA from 1 species